CAUGCAUGUGUCAGUACAGGCCGCUUCUAAGGCAAAACCGCGAAUGGCUCAUUAAACCAGUUAUGAUCCACUAGAUGGAAAACCCAUUACUCGGAUAACCCUGGUAAUUCUAGAGCUAAUACGUGCUACAUGCUCCGACCGAGAGGGAGGAGUGCUUUUAUUAGAUGAAAACCAAUCGGACCUCGGUCCGUCUCACGAGAACGUGACGAUUCUGAAUAACUUUGUGCAGAGGGCACGGUCUCCGCACCGGCCCCGUGUCUUUCGAGUUUCUGCUUUAUCAUGCUGUGGAUUGUAGGCUAUACGCCUACAGUGGCUGUAACGGAUGACGGAGAAUCAGGGUUCGAUUCCGGAGAGGGAGCCUGAGAAACGGCUACCACAUCCAAGGAAGGCAGCAGGCACGCAAAUUACCCAAUCCCAGCCCGGGGAGGUAGUGACGAAAAAUAACGAUGCGGGACACUUCUGUGUCUGCGUAAUCGGAAUGAGCACACCCCAAACCAUUGUGCAACAACCGAUUGGAGGGCAAGUCUGGUGCCAGCAGCCGCGGUAAUUCCAGCUCCAAUAGCGUAUAUUAAAGUUUUUAGAGUGCUCAAAGCAGGCUACUCUUGAAACCUAAAGCCCGAAUGUUACCUGCAUGGAAUGAUGGAAGAUGAUCUCGGUUCCAUUUUAUUGGGGGUGGGAAUCCGAGUUAAUGAUAAACAGGGACUGUCGGGGGCAUCCGUACUACGACGCGAGAGGUGAAAUUCAGUGACCGUCGUAGGACGAACGACAGCGAAAGCAUUUGCCAAGAAUGUCUUCGUUGAUCAAGAACGAAAGUUAGAGGAUCGAAGGCGAUCAGAUACCGCCCUAGUUCUAACCCUAAACGAUGCUGACUAGCAAUUCGCCGUCGUUAUUCCCAUGACGUGGCGAGACGCCCCCGGGAAACCUCAAGUCUUUGAGUUCCGGGGGUAGUAUGGUUGCAAAACUGAAACUUAAAGGAAUUGACGGAAGGGCACCACCAGGAGUGGAGCCUGCGGCUUAAUUUGACUCAACACGGGGAACCUCACCAGGCCCGGACACCAGAAGGAUUGACAGACCAAGAGCUCUUUCUCGAUUUGGUGGGUGGUGGUGCAUGGCCGUUCUUAGUUGGUGGAGUGAUUUGUCUGGUUAAUUCCGGUAACGAACGAGACUCUGGCCUACUAACUAGUCGACGGGGUCUAUCGCCUCUUCGGGGCAAGGGCCCCGGUCGACAAUGUCUUCUUAGAGGGAUGAGCGGCGAGUAUAGCCGCAGGAGACUGAGCAAUAACAGGUCUGUGAUGCCCUUAGAUGUCCUGGGCCGCACGCGCGCUACACUGAAUGGGUUAGCGGGUUCUCCUUCUCCGAGAGGAGCGGGAAAUCGCGUGAAAACCAUUCGUGAUAGGGAUUGGGGCUUGCAAUUGUUUCCCAUCAACGAGGAAUUCCCAGUAAGCGCGAGUCAUCAGCUCGCGCUGAUUAAGUCCCUGCCCUUUGUACACACCGCCCGUCGCUACUACCGAUUGAAUGGAUUAGUGAGGCCUUCGGACUGGCGGUCUCGGACUGGGCUCCGCCCGCCCGGCCCUCGCGGUCGGCGGCGGACCCGCCCUGACGAGCCGGAAAGAUGUCCAAACUUGUCUAUUUAGAGGAAGUAAAAGUCGUAACAAGGUUUCC
rnacentral:rRNA from 1 species